rnacentral:rRNA from 1 species
UGGGGAAUAUUGCACAAUGGGCGAAAGCCUGAUGCAGCGACGCCGCGUGAGGGAUGACGGCCUUCGGGUUGUAAACCUCUUUCAGCAGGGACGAAGCGCAAGUGACGGUACCUGCAGAAGAAGCACCGGCUAACUACGUGCCAGCAGCCGCGGUAAUACGUAGGGUGCAAGCGUUGUCCGGAAUUACUGGGCGUAAAGAGUUCGUAGGCGGUUUGUCGCAUCGUUUGUGAAAACCAGCAGCUCAACUGCUGGCUUGCAGGCGAUACGGGCAGACUUGAGUACUGCAGGGGAGACUGGAAUUCCUGGUGUAGCGGUGAAAUGCGCAGAUAUCAGGAGGAACACCGGUGGCGAAGGCGGGUCUCUGGGCAGUAACUGACGCUGAGGAACGAAAGCGUGGGUAGCGAACAGG